rnacentral:rRNA from 1 species
CUUGGUCAUUUAGAGGAAGUAAAAGUCGUAACAAGGUCUCCGUUGGUGAACCAGCGGAGGGAUCAUUACCGAGUUUACAACUCCCAAACCCAUGUGAACAUACCUACUGUUGCUUCGGCGGGAUUGCCCCGGGCGCCUCGUGUGCCCCGGAUCAGGCGCCCGCCUAGGAAACUUAAUUCUUGUUUUAUUUUGGAAUCUUCUGAGUAGUUUUUACAAAUAAAUAAAAACUUUCAACAACGGAUCUCUUGGUUCUGGCAUCGAUGAAGAACGCAGCGAAAUGCGAUAAGUAAUGUGAAUUGCAGAAUUCAGUGAAUCAUCGAAUCUUUGAACGCACAUUGCGCCCGCCAGUAUUCUGGCGGGCAUGCCUGUCUGAGCGUCAUUUCAACCCUCAUGCCCCUAGGGCGUGGUGUUGGGGAUCGGCCAAAGCCCGCGAGGGACGGCCGGCCCCUAAAUCUAGUGGCGGACCCGUCGUGGCCUCCUCUGCGAAGUAGUGAUAUUCCGCAUCGGAGAGCGACGAGCCCCUGCCGUUAAACCCCCAACUUUCCAAGGUUGACCUCAGAUCAGGUAGGAAUACCCGCUGAACUUAAGCAUAUCAAUAAGCGGAGGA